rnacentral:rRNA from 1 species
AUGCCUUUCACUCGCAAGCAUGGCAUUGCACGAAUGCGUGUGGGAGUUCUGGAUGUGGAUGCGGUGCCGUGUUUCCUAGGAUGGGUCUAUGAGGGCUUGAUUUAUGAUCUGCGGAUUGAGAUUGAGGGAGCUCCAUUGAUCCAAAAUGCAAACAUGGGCAUGGGUACGGACGGUGGUCCUGAUGGUGGGGACGGCAGGCAGGAUGAUCUCAUGGACCAUGACCAGUCUGCUAAUCAUUCAUCUACCCCCGGAGGGUCAGGUCAGGUAUCUGCGGCCCCAACGGGCAAGACUUUGUCCACUUCGACGCCUAUGGAGGGGCUUCAGCGUGGUAUUGAUGCGGACUUGACACCGUUUCGGCUUCCGAGAGAGAGGUAUGAGGAUGUUGCCUCACAUUCCACGUCUACGGAGUGCACGACACCCGCUACCACGUCGACGCCUAGGGCAAGGCUUCACUUUGGAUCUUUUGGUGCUGUUUCGGCACCUGGGCACCUUUGGGGCGAUAGAGUGGACAUGGAUGACCCGGCUGAGUAA